AUACUGAGACUAAGGUAGAAAAAGACACUUCCAAAGGGUGUCAAUGACAAGAGAGAAAUAGACAUAGAGUGGUCACUUCAUUUACCAACCCUGGAACCGCAGACCUCUGGGCUUCCUGGCCCAUUUCUGCCUCGGUUGCCUGCCUCCAACCACAAUCCAGUUUUUUGGCUCCCAGAGACAGACAUGCCCAGAUCUGAACACCACCCACCUGGAUAAAGAAAAUGGGUACGGCCAAGACCAUAGACCUAGUGAUUGUCAGAUGAACAAUUAGACCCACAGAACCAUCCAAGCUACAGAGGACGCAUUCUGCCUUCCCUUGGAUCCUGUGGUUUGAGGAUGGAGGUCUAGGACCGUGGCAGGCUUUUUGUCCCAUGAGGGAAGGCCAUGGAGCUGAGGAAGGGGAAGAACACACACACCUAAUGGAAUCUCGAGAGAAAGUUCAGACAUCAAAAGACAGAAGCGACAGAGACCCAGAUGGAGUCUCACCCAGCCUGGAGUACAGUAGUAUGAUCUGCAACCUUUGCCUCCCAGGUUCAGGCGAUUCUCCUGUCUCAGCCUCCGGAGUAUCUGGGAUUACAGGCACGUGCCACCACGCCCGGCUAAUUUUUUGUAUUUUUAGUAGAGAUGGGUUUCACCGUGUUAGCCAGGAUGGUCUCGAACUCCUGACCUCGUGAUCUACCCGCCUUGGCCUCCCAAAGUGCUGGGAUUACAGGCAUGAGCUACCGUGCUCGGCCAUGCCUGGCUAAUUUAUAUAUACAUAUAUAUAUAUAUAUAUAUUUUUUUUUUUUUUUUUUUUUUUUUGAGACAGAGUCUUGCUCUGUCACCCAGGUUGGAGUGCAGUGGCAUGAUCUCGGCUCACUGCAAGCUCGCCUCCCAGGUUCACGCCAUUCUCCUGCCUCAGCCUCCUGAGUAGCUGGGACUACAGGCGCCCGCAUGACGCCCGGCUAAUUUUUUGUAUUUUUAGUAGAGACGGGGUUUCACUGUGUUAGCCAGGAUGGUCUCGAUCUCCUGACCUCGUGAUCUGCCCACCUCAGCCUCCGAAAGUGCUGGGAUUACAGACAUGAGCCACCGCACCCAGCCUUAUAUAUAUAUUUUUUAUUAGUGAAGAGGUUUCGCCAUAUUGGCCAGACUGGUCUCGAACUCCUGACCUCAGGUGAUCCACCCACCUCGGCCUCCCAAAGUGCUGGGAUUACAGGUGGGAGCCACCGCACCCUGCCUAAAAUGCAAAAGAUUUUGAAUGGCGAGAAUGGCGACAUGAUGCCACAAGUGGAAAAUUCCACACCUGGCUGCAUGUAAUGGGUUGAAGUCAAAAUGCAGUCAAAAACUUUGUUUCAUGUACAAAAUUAUUAAAAACAUUGUAUAAAAUCACCUUCAGACUAUGUGUAUGUGAAACCUAAGUGAAUUUAAUGGCUAGACUUCAGUUGCAUUCCCAAGAUCUCUCAUUAUGUAUAUGCAAAUAUUUUGAAAUUCAACCUGGUUCCACACAUUUUAGAUAAGGGAUACUCAAGCUGUAAUUAACAAAUAAACUUUUCACAGUCCAAGCAGCCAAAGGCCCACUGUCCCUGUUCCCUCAGCUCACGCCCCCUUCCGUGCACAGCCUUAUCUAAUCCUUCUACCCUUC
rnacentral:lncRNA from 1 species